rnacentral:misc_RNA from 1 species
UAUUUGAUCCUGAUCGGAGGAAGGGAGAUGCUGCAUGCUGACAGGAAGUUGAUCUUUAAUCUCUCCCAUCAUUGAAACUUCAGACUAAAAGGAGUUAUGACAAAGUUUUCUACAGAGGAGGUGGAGCUAUAUACCAAUUGGGAUGAUGUGUUUUGUCCCAUUUGCUUGGACUUCCCUCACAAUGGUGUGCUCCUCCAGUGCUCAUCUUAUGACAAGGG